rnacentral:tRNA from 1 species
CGGGGUGUAGCUCAGCCUGGUAGAGCACUGUCUUCGGGAGGCAGGGGUCGCGCGUUCAAAUCGCGCCAUCCCGACCA